rnacentral:rRNA from 1 species
UCUUGCUCAGUCAGAGGAAGUAAAAGUCGUAACAAGGUUUCCGUAGGUGAACCUGCGGAAGGAUCAUUAUUGAAUAAACUUGGUUAGGUUGUUGCUGGCUCCUCGGAGCAUGUGCACGCCUAGCACCAAUUGUUUUUACCACCUGUGCACCUUUUGUAGACUCCGGAGUGCUUGCGCUUCAUAGUCUAUGUCUUCACAUAUACACAUGAAUGUAAUAGAAUGUCAUUAACUGGCCAUUUAGUGCCUUUACAAAUGAAAUACAACUUUCAACAACGGAUCUCUUGGCUCUCGCAUCGAUGAAGAACGCAGCGAAAUGCGAUAAGUAAUGUGAAUUGCAGAAUUCAGUGAAUCAUCGAAUCUUUGAACGCACCUUGCGCUCCUUGGUAUUCCGAGGAGCAUGCCUGUUUGAGUGUCAUUAAAUUCUCAACCUUUUCAACUUUUGUUAGUUGGUCAGGCUUGGAUUGUGGGGGUUGCGGGCUUCUCGGAAGUCGGCUCUCCUUAAAUACAUUAGCAGAAACCUUUGUUGCAUUAGCUCCGGCGUGAUAAUUAUCUACGCCGCAUGUGAAACAACUCUUAUACGGUUUAGCUUUCUAAUAGUCCUUUGGGACAAGCUCUUGACAAUUUGACCUCAAAUCAGGUAGGA